GACGAACGCUGGCGGCGUGCUUAACACAUGCAAGUCGAACGGAAAGGCCCUGCUUUUGUGGGGUGCUCGAGUGGCGAACGGGUGAGUAACACGUGAGUAACCUGCCCUUGACUUUGGGAUAACUUCAGGAAACUGGGGCUAAUACCGGAUAGGAGCUGCUGCUGCAUGGUGGGGGUUGGAUAGUUUCGGCGGUUGGGGAUGGACGCGCGGCUUAUCAGCUUGUUGGUGGGGUAGUGGCUUACCAAGGCUUUGACGGGUAGCCGGCCUGAGAGGGUGACCGGCCACAUUGGGACUGAGAUACGGCCCAGACUCCUACGGGAGGCAGCAGUGGGGAAUAUUGCACAAUGGGCGGAAGCCUGAUGCAGCAACGCCGCGUGCGGGAUGACGGCCUUCGGGUUGUAAACCGCUUUCGCCUGUGACGAAGCGUGAGUGACGGUAAUGGGUAAAGAAGCACCGGCUAACUACGUG
rnacentral:rRNA from 1 species